rnacentral:rRNA from 1 species
GACGAACGCUGGCGGCGUGCCUAAUACAUGCAAGUAGAACGCUGAAGGAGGAGCUUGCUCUUCUGGAUGAUUUGCGAACGGGUGAGUAACGCGUAGGUAACCUGCCUGGUAGCGGGGGAUAACUAUUGGAAACGAUAGCUAAUACAGCAUAACAGUAGAUGUUGCAUGACAUUUACAUAAAAGGUGCAGUUGCAUCACUACCAGAUGGACCUGCGUUGUAUUAGCUAGUUGGUGGGGUAACGGCUGACCAAAGCGACCAUACAGAGGCGGCCUGAGAGGGUGAACGGGCCACACGGGACUGGAACACCGCCCAAGCCCCCUCGGGGAGCCGCAGUAGGGGAUCCUCGGCAAUGGGCCGAAGGCUGGCCGAGCAACGCCGCGUGAGGUGAGAAAGUUUUCGGAACGUAAAGCUCUGUUGUUAGGGAAGGACGAGUGGUGGAGUGGAAAGUGCACACUGUGACGGUAUCUUACCAGAAAGGGACGGCUAACUACGUG